UACGUAGGGGGCAAGCGUUGUUCGGAUUUACUGGGCGUAAAGGGCGCGUAGGCGGUGUGGUAAGUCACUUGUGAAAUCUCUGAGCUUAACUCAGAACGGCCAAGUGAUACUGCUGUGCUAGAGUGCAGAAGGGGCAAUCGGAAUUCUUGGUGUAGCGGUGAAAUGCGUAGAUAUCAAGAGGAACACCUGAGGUGAAGACGGGUUGCUGGGCUGACACUGACGCUGAUGCGCGAAAGCCAGGGGAGCAAACGGG
rnacentral:rRNA from 1 species